rnacentral:rRNA from 1 species
CCUACGGGGGGCUGCAGUGGGGAAUUUUCCGCAAUGGGCGAAAGCCUGACGGAGCAACGCCGCGUGAGGGAGGAAGGUCUUUGGAUUGUAAACCUCUUUUCUCAAGGAAGAAGUUCUGACGGUACUUGAGGAAUCAGCCUCGGCUAACUCCGUGCCAGCAGCCGCGGUAAUACGGGGGAGGCAAGCGUUAUCCGGAAUUAUUGGGCGUAAAGCGUCCGCAGGUGGUCAGCCAAGUCUGCUGUCAAAUCAGGUUGCUUAACGACCUAAAGGCGGUGGAAACUGGCAGACUAGAGAGCAGUAGGGGUAGCAGGAAUUCCCAGUGUAGCGGUGAAAUGCGUAGAGAUUGGGAAGAACAUCGGUGGCGAAAGCGUGCUACUGGGCUGUAUCUGACACUCAGGGACGAAAGCUAGGGGAGCGAAAGGGAUUA